CUAGCCCUGAAAUGGAUGGCGCUCUAGCGAAAGACCUAUACUUUACUGUUAUACUAUGUUGAGAACAAAGUAUAACAUGUAGGAGGGUGUAGUAGUUAGCGUUGAAGGUUUUCAUUGUAAAAUGGACUGGAGCUUCUACUAGUGCAGAUCUUGGUGAUAGUAGCAAACAUUCAAGUGAGAUCCUUGAAGGCCGAAGUGAAAAAGGUUUCCACGUGAACAGUAUUUGAAUGUGGGUCAGUCGGUCCUAAGGAAAUAGCGCAUGCUAUUUUGAUUAUGUGUGUUUUAUUCUUUACGGUUUGAUUCACAUGUUUUCCGAAAGGGAAGUAGGUUAAUAUUCCUACACUAUGAGAAUACGAUUUUUGGUUUUCUUUACGGUUAAUCAAAAUGGGACGGUAACGUUAUAUGAACUCGUAUACGUCAUAUAUAGUUCAGAAUAGAGAUCUCUUCUCUAUUUAAGAUAUUUUGUCCAUGGAAUGAGAUCAUCUCGAGAUAUGGAUAAAGGUAUUGAAAAGCAUAACGGUUUUUGUUAUGUUCUGAUUGCUAUAUAUGGCCCUUGAAAAUACGAGGGAUCCCUAAUAAUGUAUUCCAUAGCCGUACCUUAUUCCGCAUCAGGUUUUCAAGGUGAAUAGCCUCUGGUCGAUAGAAUAAUGUAGGUAAGGGAAGUCGGCAAAUUAGAUCCGUAACUUCGGGAAAAGGAUUGGCUCUAAGAAUCGAGUAUAUUGGGUUUUUGAAUGAAACUUUAUUUGAUAGAACAUGUUUGAGGGAUGCUUCGGCUGAACUUGGACUAGUUUUUAUUGGAUAUUGUGGAAUUCUUAAACUUUUUAUAAUCUUUACGGAUUAUAAAGUCAAUAUACACUUAACGAUUAGCUUAGAACUGACACGGACUCGGGGAAUCCGACUGUCUAAUUAAAACAGAGCAAAUAGAAGGCGUUUAUGUGCGUUGACUAUUUGUGAUUUCUGCCCAGUGCUCUGAAUGUUAAUCUAAAGAAAUUUAUAUAAGCGCGGGUAAACGGCGGGAGUAACUAUGACUCUCUUAAGGUAGCCAAAUGCCUCGUCAGAUAAGUCCUGACGCGCACGAAUGGAUUAACGAGAUUCCCACUGUCCCUAUCUACUAUCUAGCGAAAUCACAGCCAAGGGAACGGGCUUGGCAAAUACAGCGGGGAAAGAAGACCCUAUUGAGCUUGACUCUAGUCUGACUUUGUGAAGAGUCAUAAGAGGUGUAGUAUAAGGGGGAGACUUCGGUCAUCGGUGAAAUACCCCUACUUUUAUCGACUCUUUACUUAUUCAGUAAUACGGAGAUUGUCUUCGGACUUUCUUUUUGAUUUAAAUAUUGAUUCUUGGAAUUGAUAUGAUCCGCACUGAUGACAUUGUCAGGCGGGGAGUUUGACUGGGGCGGUACAUCUGUCAAAUAGUAACGCAGGUGUCCUAAGGAAUACUCAGUGAGGACAGAAACCUCACGUAGACUAAAAGGAGAAAAGUAUUCUUGAUCUUGAUUCUCAGUACGAAUACAGACCGUUAAAGCGUGGCCUAUCGAUCCUUUUGGAUUAUGAAGUUUAUAACAAGAGGUGUCAGAAAAGUUACCAUAGGGAUAACUGGCUUGUGGCAGCCAAGCGUCCAUAGCG
rnacentral:rRNA from 1 species